rnacentral:rRNA from 2 species
CCCGGCACAAGCGGUGGAGCAUGUGGUUUAAUUCGAAGCAACGCGAAGAACCUUACCAGGGCUUGACAUGCCGCUGACCGGUUUAGAGAUAGACCUUUAUCCUUCGGGGUACAGCGGACACAGGUGGUGCAUGGUUGUCGUCAGCUCGUGUCGUGAGAUGUUGGGUUAAGUCCCGCAACGAGCGCAACCCUUGUCUUUAGUUGCCAUCAUUAAGUUGGGCACUCUAAAGAGACUGCCGAUGACAAAUCGGAGGAAGGUGGGGAUGACGUCAAAUCAUCAUGCCCUUUAUGUCCUGGGCUACACACGUGCUACAAUGGUCGGUACAACGAGAAGCAAGCCAGCGAUGGCAAGCAAAUCUCUAAAAGCCGAUCCCAGUUCGGAUUGCAGGCUGCAACUCGCCUGCAUGAAGUCGGAGUUGCUAGUAAUCGCGGAUCAGAAUGCCGCGGUGAAUGCGUUCCCGGGUCUU